UUUGACAGGGUUUGGCUAAAAGAAAGACAAGGGGGCGGUAGUAAGCGAGUCCGACGUGUGUACGAAUCAACAUUGAACUUACUUUUUGUAUGUCGGCCACACCGCGCCGCGAGUUGAUUUGUAUGCGACGAUUCAUUUGGGGAAGACAGCAACAGCGCAUAGUACUACAGGAUGUCGCGGAUCAUUUCAACGUUUUGCACGGGGAAGCACGACUAGCACAGUAACACCGCAACGCGAUUCAUAUUUAAAAGGUAUAAUGCGAAUGGUUAGAAGAGCUCGAAUUCAAACAAAAUGGAAACAAUUUAGAAUCGCUGCGGCAUUCCAUGUAGCCAGAAGGACUACUAGGGUAGAACAUAGCUGUAUAGAGAGCUAGUUAUUAACUAAUAUACAUGCGAAGUUACAUAUCAGAAAAGCUCAAACAGAGCCUAUAGUAAGUUAGUUGAAACUAUUAGUUCGUUGGUGUCCCCAGUCACCAAAGAAGACUGAAGAAAAUACUGAAAUAUGCUACGGAGAAGACUGAACCGUUUGUUUGGUAGGGACGAGAGGAAGGUAGACAGCAGGACCAUCUACGUAGGCCACCGGCCCUGUCCCGCCACCGAAGCUUUAAUCCCCCCCAAGUUCUGUGACAACAGGAUUGUCUCUUCCAAGUACACGGUGUGGAACUUUCUGCCAAAGAAUCUGUUUGAGCAGUUCAGAAGAAUUGCCAAUUUCUACUUCUUCAUCAUCUUUUUGGUGCAGGUGAUCGUAGACACCCCCACCAGCCCAGUCACUAGUGGCCUACCUCUGUUCUUUGUCAUCACUGUCACAGCCAUCAAACAGGGCUAUGAGGACUGGCUGCGGCACAAGGCAGAUAAUGAGGUGAAUAAGUACCUGGUGACAGUGCUGGAGGACGGCCGGAGAGCAUGCAAGGAGAGCGAGAAGAUCAAGGUUGGGGAUGUGGUGGAGGUGGUUGAGGAUGAGACCUUUCCCUGUGACCUCAUCCUGCUGCAGUCCAGCCGGGAGGACGAGACCUGCUUUGUCACCACGGCCAGUCUGGAUGGGGAGUCCAACCAUAAGACACACUACACAGUGCCAGACACGGAGAGGAACCUGGAGUCUCUCAGCGCCACCAUCGAGUGCGAGCAGCCGCAGCCUGACCUCUACAAAUUUGUGGGGCGUAUGCACAUCUACAGGAACAACCAGGAACCCGCUGUGAGGUCUUUGGGUCCAGAGAAUCUCCUCCUGAAAGGUGCUACCUUGAAGAACACUCAGAAGAUAUAUGGUGUGGCAGUUUACUCAGGCAUGGAGACCAAGAUGGCUCUGAACUACCAGGGGAAGUCCCAGAAGCGCUCUGCGGUGGAGAAGUCUAUCAAUGCCUUCCUGCUGGUGUACCUGUGCAUCCUGGUGAGCAAGGCCCUGGUGUGCACCACGCUCAAGUAUGUGUGGCAGAACCGACCAGGCCAGGACGAGCCCUGGUACAACCAGAAGACGCAAAAGGAGAAAGAUACCAACCUGUACCUGAAGAUGUUUACUGACUUCCUGUCGUUCAUGGUUCUGUUCAACUUCAUCAUCCCCGUGUCCAUGUACGUGACGGUGGAGAUGCAGAAGUUCCUGGGCUCCUUCUUCAUCUCCUGGGACAAGGACUUCUUUGACCCCGAGAUCCAGGAAGGGGCUCUGGUCAACACAUCUGACCUCAAUGAGGAGCUGGGACAGGUGGAGUACGUGUUCACGGACAAGACGGGCACGCUGACCCAGAACAACAUGGAGUUCAUCGAGUGCUGCAUCGACGGCUUCCAGUACAAGUACGCCGACUCAGGCACCGAGCUGGACGGCUUCUGUGUCACAGAUGGACCCGUGAACAUUCUGCAGCAGAAGGCUGGCAGGGAGAAGGAGGAGCUGUUCCUGCGGGCUCUGUGUCUGUGCCACACGGUGCAGGUGAAGGAGGCUACGGGUCAGGGGGAUGGAGUAGCAGGCGGUGUAGAGGACCAGGUGGACGGCGUCAUGGGGCUGGAUGGAGAGACGGUCGGGCCUGCGGACCUCGGGGGCUUCAUUGCCUCCUCACCCGACGAGGUGGCACUGGUCAAGGGAGCCAUGAAGUAUGGUUUCAAAUUCCUUGGUAUGGAGAGCAAGAACAUGAGAGUGAUGAACAGAAACAACGAUGUUGAAACGUACGAACUGCUUCACGUGUUGAACUUUGACCCGGUGCGAAGGCGUAUGAGUGUGAUAGUCCGAACCAAAUCAGGGGACACCAUGCUGUUCUGUAAGGGGGCCGACUCCUCUAUCUUCCCCCGUGUCAGGCAGGAGGAGGUGGACAGGAUACGCAUGCACGUGGAACGCAACGCUACGGAGGGCUACCGGACGCUGUGUGUGGCCUACAAGCUGCUGAGCAGGGAGGAGUAUGACCAGGCAGACACGGGGCUGAGGGAAGCCAAGCUGGCCCUGCAGGACCGAGAGGAGAAACUCAUGGCUGUGUACAACCAGGUGGAGACCGGGAUGAGCCUGAUCGGAGCUACCGCCGUGGAGGACAGGUUGCAGGAGGAGGCAGCCGAGACCAUGGAGGCCCUGCAGGGAGCAGGCAUGAAGGUGUGGGUGCUGACGGGGGACAAGAUGGAGACGGCCAAGUCCACGUGCUACGCCUGCCGGCUGUUCCAGAGGAGCACAGAGCUGCUGGAGCUGACGGUGCGAACCCUUGUGGACCUGGGGAGGAAGAGAGAGGAGCGCCUGCACGAGCUGCUGCUGGACUACCACAAGAGGGCAGUACAGGACGCCCCACCAAUCAAGGCUGGGGUCACCAGGAGCUGGUCUUCAGCGAACCAGGACUACGGCUUCAUCAUAGACGGAGCCACUCUGUCCUUGGUGCUUAACUCCUCUCCUGACUCCAACUCCAGCUGCUACAAGAGUCUCUUCCUCCAGAUCUGUCAGAACUGUACCACUGUGCUGUGCUGCCGCAUGGCUCCCCUACAGAAGGCCCAGAUAGUAAAGAUGGUGAAGAACUGUAAAGGCAGCCCCAUCACCCUCUCCAUCGGAGAUGGGGCCAACGAUGUCAGUAUGAUCCUGGAGGCACAUGUUGGCAUCGGUAUAAAGGGUAGGGAGGGUCGCCAGGCAGUGAGGAACAGUGACUAUGCCAUCCCUAAGCUCAAGCACCUGAAGAAACUGUUACUGGGACACGGGCACCUCUACUACGUUCGUAUUGCCCACCUGGUGCAAUACUUCUUCUACAAGAACCUCUGCUUCAUCUUACCUCAGUUCUUGUACCAGUUUUUCUGUGGAUACUCCCAGCAACCUCUCUACGACGCAGCCUAUCUGACGAUGUACAACAUCUGUUUCACCUCAAUGCCUAUCCUGGCCAACAGCCUCUUGGAGCAGCACAUCUGUAUGGAGGUCCUGAUGGACAACGCCGCCCUCUACAGGGACGUAGCAAAGAAUGCCAUGUUGGGUUGGGGGCCCUUCCUGUACUGGACACUACUGGGGGUCUACCAGGGCCUCUUAUUCUUCUUCGGGGUCCGCUUUCUCUUUAGUAACCCCGCCCUGCAGGAUAAUGGCCAGGUGUUUGGGAAUUGGUCGUUCGGAACGAUUGUUUUUACUGUCCUCGUUUUCACUGUGACGCUGAAGCUGGCUAUGGACACUCGCCAUUGGACGUGGAUCAAUCACUUUGUCAUCUGGGGCUCGCUGGCCUUCUACACGUUCUUCAGCUUCUUCUGGGGUGGGAUCAUAUGGCCUUUCCUUCGGCAGCAGCGUCUCUACUUUGUUUUUGCUAAUAUGCUGAGCUCUGUGUCAGCCUGGCUGAUCAUCAUCCUGCUCAUCCUGCUCAGCCUGUUGCCUGAGAUCCUGCUGUUGGUCCUCCGAAAGCCCCGCGGGCCCCACUCACGACAGAAGAAGCCGGUGGUUCAGUCUGGCGAGGGGGAAACCCAGUCUCCCCGGUCUUCAGCCAGGCCCCUGCUCAUGAAAACCUUUUCAGACGAGUCCAAUACUAUCCUAUGAACAGAAUUUCCAGUUACCUUGUUGACUAAGUAUGGACUCCGUUGAGGAUCGGGGAUUCAUCUGUCUCAUCAGUGUGUGAAUCCUUCAGAGGACUCCCUCCUAAAAACAUCCAGAUCGCUGCUGUCACGCCCUUGUCCUACAAGCACCUGAUCGGGCAGGAGUGAAGGGCAGAAAGGAGGGUUAACUAUACUACGGCCAAUGUCUUUCAGGCCCCAAUGGCAGUCAAGCUGGCUGCCAGCACUUUUGCCUGAUCUAAAAAGAAAAUGGAAAUUGACAAAAAGAAAAUAGAAAAGAUGCUAGAAGAGCCAGGGAUGGACUCCUGUCACCCUCUUCCUGUUUCCCUCUGCAUGUCUGCAGAGUACUGCACCACUGGCCCACUCAGCAUAGGCCGUUUUUACAACGGCUUUACUGCACUAUUCAGACAGGAGGCAUGAAUUUCCUCAGUUUCUUUUUGUUUCUUAAAAAAAUCUAAAUGAAUGCGUACACGGCUACCUUGUCAGUAGUACUACUAUGAUCUGCUGUGUUCUAACAUGCAGCCACACCUCCACGGACCCAGAAUGAUUCAUCUGCAUGAAACGAAGGAGGCUCCAUGAAUGCCACAUUCCACUUGUUAUUACUUGUGUGUUUAGGUCAAGGUUUGUUAAAACAAAAAUGUUACUUAACUUUCUGAAACAGAUUCCACAGUUCCAGGCCCAAAUAGUUUGUACAGUACCAGUCAAAAGUUUUAGAACACCUUCUCAUUCAAUGGUUUUUCUUUACUACGUUGUAGAAUAAUUGUGAAGACUUCAAAAUUCUGAAAAAUACACACAUGGAAUCAUGUAGUAACCAAAAAAACGGUUAUAGAAAUCAAGAUGUAUUUGAUAUUCUUCAAAGUAGCCACCCUUUGCCUUGAUGACAGCUUUGCACACUCUUGGCAUUCUCUCAACCAGCUUUGUAAGGAAUGCUUACAUAUGCUGUGCACUUGUUGGUUGCUUUUCCUUCACUCCGCGCGCGGUCCAAUUCGUCCCAAACCGUCUCAAUUGGGUUGAGGUUGAGUGAUUGUGGAGGCCAGGUCAUCUGAUGCAGCACCCCAUCACUCUCCUUGGUCAAAUAGCCCUUACACAGCCUGGAGGUUGAAAAACAAAUGAUACGUCCCAAUAUACGCAAACCAGGUGGGAUGGUGUAUCGCUGCAGAAUUCUGUGGUAGCUAUGCUGGUUAAGUGUGCCUUGAAUUCUAAAUAAAUCACAGAAAAUGUCACCAGCAAAGCACCAUCACACCUCUUCCAAGCUUCAUGGUGGCAACCACACAUGUGGAGAUCAUCCAUUCACCUAGGUUGGAACCAAAAAUCUCAAAUUUGGACUCAUUAGACCAAAGGACAGAUUUCUGCGGUCUAAUGUCCAUUGCUCGUGUUUCUUGGCCCAAGCAGGUCUCUUCUUAUUGGUGUCCUUAAGUAGUGGUUUCUUUGCAGCAAUUCGACCAUGAAGGCCUGAUUCACGCAAUCUCCUCUGAACAGUUGAUGUUGAUCUGUCUUACUUGAACCCUGAAGCAUUUAUUUGCGCUCUCAUUUGAGGUGCAGUUAACUCUAAUGAAUGUAUCCUCUGCAGCAGAGGUAACUCUGGGUCUUCCUUUAUUGUGGUGGUCCUCAUGACAGCCAGUUUCACCAUAGCUCUUGAUGGUUUUUGCGACUGCACUUGAAGAAACUUUCAAAGUUCUUGACAUUUUCUGGAUUGACUGACCUUCAUGUCUUAAAGUGAUGAUGGACUGUUAUUUCUCUUUGCUUAUUUGAGCUGUUCUUGCCAUAAUAUGGACUUGGUCUUUUACCAAAUAGGGCUGUCUUCUGUUUCCAACACAACUGAUUGGCUCAAACACAUUAAGAGGGAAAGAAAUUCCAUAAAUUAACGUUUAACAAGGCACAGAUUGUUAAUUGAAAUGCAUUCCAGGUGACUACUGAUGAUGGCAACGGGUGGCUACUUUGAAGAAUAUAAAAUAUAUCAAAUUCAUUUUGAUGUAACUUUUUUUGGUUACUAUGUUAUUUCAUGUCUUAUUUCAUAAGUUUUGAUGUCUUCACUAUUAUUCUAGAAAGUAGAAAAUAGUACGAAAUAAAGAAAAACCCUUGAAUGAGUAGGUGUCUAAACUGUUGACUGGUGCUGUAAGUUACAUGAUUCCAGUCCAGGGAUCAAGAAAGCAUGUUCGCUCAAUACAGACGACACUGCACACGAGUUACUGAAUAUCUAAAACAAAAUGGGAGGGUUUAGAGGCACAGCCCCCUACUGGGUUAGGGGAGGGUUUAGAGGCACAGCCCCCUACUGGGUUAGGGUAGGGUUUAGAGGCACAGCCCCCUACUGGGUUAAGGGAGGGUUUAGAGGCACAGCCCCCUACUGGGUUAAGGGAGGGUUUAGAGGCACAGCCCCCUACUGGGUUAAGGGAGGGUUUAGAGGCACAGCCCCCUACUGGGUUAAGGGAGGGUUUAGAGGCACAGCCCCCUACUGGGUUAAGGGAGGGUUUAGAGGCACAGCCCCCUACUGGGUUAAGGGAGGGUUUAGAGGCACAGCCCCCUACUGGGUUAAGAGAGGGUUUAGAGGCACAGCCCCCUACUGGGUUAAGGGAGGGUUUAGAGGCACAGCCCCCUACUGGGUUAAGGGAGGGUUUAGAGGCACAGCCCCCUACUGGGUUAAGAGAGGGUUUAGAGGCACAGCCCCCUACUGGGUUAAGGGAGGGUUUAGAGGCACAGCCCCCUACUGGGUUAAGGGAGGGUUUAGAGGCACAGCCCCCUACUGGGUUAAGGGAGGGUUUAGAGGCACAGCCCCCUACUGGGUUAAGGGAGGGUUUAGAGGCACAGCCCCCUACUGGUUUAAUUCUCCAUUUUCCCAUCUUCCCAAAAAGUGUAUGUGAGUUCAUCAAAAUGACCGGUAAUGACUUGUGCUUGCCAACGUUUCUACCUGGCUCCGUGUCUGGAGCGUGACAUGUAUCUUCCAAGCAGAAGGCCGGUGAUAAUAUAAGAAAAUCCCAAUUGGAUUGUGUAAAUUAUUACAUGUGCUGUAGCUAUAGAUCUGAACCUGUUUGAAUGCCUAGUGCUUGAAGCCAAAAAUGUAUCUGACCUGGGGAGAUGCAUGUCAUGCCCAGCACCGUCCAAAUAUUGCAAAAUAUGUUGCAGUGUGAGCAAGUUGUUUGUGUGAAUGUGUUUCUCAUACAUCGGUUACCCAGCUGUACUGGAUGAGAUCGAUGGCCUAAAAUACAACCUGUGUGUUUCAUUGAGACGUAGUGUUUUCGUAGGAAUACCUGUAGCUUCCCUGUAGAUUAGCACGUGGUUGUCAUGACCUGUCCUCUAAAGGACAUCAGGAGUUCUGAGGAUUUUCCUUUGGGCGUGCGGUCAGAAAGGCACAUUUUGUCAUAUGCCGAAACACACGCAUAAUGCACACACACCUACGCAUUCACUAAUACGCACAUGCACUAAAGGCCUAAAAUGAGGUAUCUAUGUCCCAUUACCACUUAGUGUUUGUCAAAGGUAACGAUCCCAACUCCAGACUUGCUCAUCAGGUAAUGUGACCACCUGCUGACCUUACAUCAACAUCCAUAUCUAUUUAGGAUAUCUGAGAAGGGUUUCUUACUGACCUCUGGUGUUAGUGCUUCAUACAUUCCGUUUCUACAUACCAUGAUUUGAAUCACUUUUAGAUACUACGGGAGGAUUUUUGUUUUGGAACGUGUAAGAAUCUAUUUGACAUAUUUAUUGUUCUGUGUAAUUUUACCCACAAAUGUUAUAUUUUUGUUACGUAUUUGUUUUAUUGUGCAAUUUCAGUAUGCCUGCGUUACUUCAGACGAGAUGUGUGCCCCUGUGCCAACCCCUAUGUCCUACCUUACACCAUAUCCUGUUCCCUCCACCGUUCUGGUCGCAGGUCAGAUUACAGAGCACUGGUUAGAGGUCAGUCAAGCCAUAUCUAGGCUUUGAAUGAAGCUUCGGGUAUUUCUGGCACAGAGGGGUAUGUCUUAUCCUUUAAAAAAAUGCCAUAACUAUCAAAUAUUUGAUAAUGAUGGCUGUAGUUCCUAAGUUCAGUAGCUUUAGUUCAGAUGGACUUCAUUCCAGAUCCUUAGUGGUUGGAGAUACUGUAACAUCUACAUGCUGGCUGUACUUGAUACUGAGCAUAUGCAACCUGGUGUCCCCUCCAUGCCAAAUGUGAUUUACCAUACUUUCAUAUGGGUGAAAUGUAUAUAUUUGUCUUGACUUCAAGGGACUGGAGUGCCCAGAGGGUUGUGUACACCAGAUGGAGAUAUUAGGUAGGACUCUUUGUAACGUUUCCUUUUGAAACACUAAAGCUAUCUGGGGGCUGAGUAUGGGCUGUGGUCAGACUAGCGUGGAGAUACUGCUGGACUCUCACCUGCCUGGGCUGUGUGCUAGGUCGGGGUAGGAGUAGGACUUACUAUAUGGGGGGGCAUUACAGAUGCUGUUUUCAAAAGCUUACAAAAUGUAUUGGUUUCUCGUGUUUUGCCUGACCAAAAAAAAAAAGAAUGAUUGUAUUUUUAAUGCAACCCUUUUUCCAGCCAUUUUUGUAAGAAUAAUCAAAACGUCCCCCAAAAAAAUACAGCUGGAUGAAUGCAGCUGGAUGAAUGUGGAGAAUGGCCCUGUCCCACGGGUGACCGCUGGGGUGGGGUGCCUUGGGGUGACGGGCACAAAAUGGGCACCUCACCCUGGCCCCAGGACCACCCCACGUCCCCCCCAGGACCACCCCACAUCUGGCCCCUCGGGCUCCAGCCUCAGCACUCUGAACCUCCGACCUGAAUGUAGCACUUUAAGACCAGUUUGUUCAACACAGUUUUUCUGUAAUAAAUCACAAUAUUAUGAA